rnacentral:rRNA from 1 species
GCUAGCGGAAUAACACAGGGGGGGCAAGCUAAUAGGAAUCACAAGGCUUAAAGGCCCGUAGGCGGGGUCGUAAGUUCCGGUGAAAGCCCACAAGUCAACGGUGGAACCGCAAUGGCAAACUGGAAGUCUCGAGGAAUGUAGAGGCCGGUAGAAUUCAUGGUGGAGCGGUGAAAUGCGUAGAGAUCAUGCGGAACGCCAAAGGUGAAGGCGACUGUCUGGUGAUUUCCUGACGCUGAGGCGCGAAAGCGUGGGGAGCAAACAGGAUUAGAUACCCCGGUAGUC